GAUGAACGCUGGCGGCGUGCCUAAUACAUGCAAGUCGAGCGAACAGACGAGGAGCUUGCUCCUCUGACGUUAGCGGCGGACGGGUGAGUAACACGUGGAUAACCUACCUAUAAGACUGGGAUAACUUCGGGAAACCGGAGCUAAUACCGGAUAAUAUAUUGAACCGCAUGGUUCAAUAGUGAAAGACGGUUUUGCUGUCACUUAUAGAUGGAUCCGCGCCGCAUUAGCUAGUUGGUAAGGUAACGGCUUACCAAGGCAACGAUGCGUAGCCGACCUGAGAGGGUGAUCGGCCACACUGGAACUGAGACACGGUCCAGACUCCGACGGGAGGCAGCAGUAGGGAAUCUUCCGCAAUGGGCGAAAGCCUGACGGAGCAACGCCGCGUGAGUGAUGAAGGUCUGCGGAUCGUAAAACGCUGUUAUUAGGGAAGAACAAAUGUGUAAGUAACGAUGCACGUCUGGACGGUACCUAAGCAGAAAGCCACGGCUAACUACGG
rnacentral:rRNA from 1 species